rnacentral:lncRNA from 1 species
GAUGACAGACCAUCCUCUGAUCCUUUAGCGACUACUCCUGCAGAGACGAUUUGUAAGAACUGAUGGUAACAAAUGCAUGUGCAAAGCUUUGAAGAUUUUAUUGCCAUGAGAAUGAUAAGAGUAUGGUCAAAGAGUUUCUUUUCCUCUCAGGUGUAUGGUGAGUGCUUCAUCCUCGAAGAGCUGAGUGGACUUCGGUUCUUCUUAAUCCUGACGCUUCUCAAGUUUGGUAAUGGUGGCAAGGAAAGUAUCUAUCUUACUUGCUUAACCAACAUGGACGGGGAAAACGCAGAGAAUUUGUACUGACCCGAGUAAAUAAGUCCGAACAAGAAGACGAUGACAUCGACACCCAUAUCUUUUAAUGUCUUCCUCCGAUCUUUCUUCACCUUCUCUUUUCCUGCUUCUCUGUUUCAG